rfam:Gallionellales bacterium GWA2_55_18 gwa2_scaffold_6058, whole genome shotgun sequence.
GUCCCCAUCGUCUAGAGGCCUAGGACAUCGCCCUUUCACGGCGGUAACACGAGUUCGAAUCUCGUUGGGGACG